CUUUGCUGACAUUUCAGUCCAUCCCCUCAGCCACAACUCUGGCAGCAUAUUUGCUCACCUAAAAAAAGAAGCCCUGUGAUGUGCAAACCCAGAGCAGCACAAGGAGCAGGUGAGAAUACAGCUUUCACAACAGUCUUCUGAACACCCAGACGAGUUGACUAAGGCUGUGAUCACUUUUCGGACAGGGAAGAAGUCUUGGGAUGUACCAUGGUAUCUAGUGAGAUCUCCCUCUCUGCCUGAAGACACCCUCAAAAGGCAAGACUAAACAGUAGCAAGGAUGGUGCCUGUGUGCCCCAGGAAUGGAAAUGUGAUACCAAAUACUUCACCCUUGGCUGAUGUGGUCCAGGCUUGUAAAUCAUGACCACUUCAUGGAUGGGAGCCACCCACUAGGUGCCAGUGAGAUGCUGGCCAUGUCCCAGGCAAGCCUUGUGGAUGCUGAGGAUGGAGCCAAGGCGCUGCAUGGACCACUCUGCCAUAGCCCGUCUGCACAAAGGACUGCCCAAACUUCAGUGUGGCUCAAAGACUUUUUGCAAUUGGUGGUGAUGGCCUGUUUCUCCCCUGGGGUUGGCACCAGCUGCUGCAGUAUCAACAGCUUAAAUGCAGUCCAGGAAACUUACUUUCUCCUGCUUGAGCUUUUUGAAUAACAGCUAAAGUUUUCUGCAGAGGGAUCCCUGUUCUGCAGGCGAAUAAGGACAGAAGCACUGGAAAGCUCCUAUUUCUUGGUGCCAUCUUACUGCUAAAGGCCCCUAUCUCUGGAAAACCAGUAGCUGCCUUCAUGAGUGAGGCACAUUUUUUAUUAGAUAAGCUGAGAAAAUGAUGUUCUGAGACCUGGUAUCCCUACUAAAUGUGUUGUUACUACUACUUGGGAUGGUCCUUUAAAAACUACCUGUGUUUCAGACCCUUGUGCAAUUCCUUCACAGAACAAGAGCCACCUGUGGCUCUGCUACCCAGCUACUGAGGUGAGUAGGGGGAAACUGCAGGAUUAAAACAACCCAGACAAGUUUCCAGCCCUUGUGGCUGUGAUGGGGAAGCUUGGCAAUUUGACAGCACACACCUCAGGAGCUCAGAAACUGGAAGGAGAAGAGAUGAUCUGGUGUUUGCAUUCUUCUAAUAUUUCUUAGGGUUUAAACCAACAAGAAGCUUUGUCUGUAAUUUUGCUGCAUCGUUCAGCUGUUCUGAAGUGCGUGCAGAGCUUCAGAAAGCAGCUUAACCAGCCAACAAACUGCAUGCAUAGCUGAAGAAAUAAAUAAAUAAAUCAAGAGUGUGUUUCUAAUGCCCAUGUUGAGGCAAAAUAACAUUAAAAAAGAA